GACGAACGCUGGCGGCGUGCUUAACACAUGCAAGUCGAACGGAAAGGCCCUGCUUUCGUGGGGUGCCCGAGUGGCGAACGGGUGAGUAACACGUGAGUAACCUGCCCUUGACUUUGGGAUAACUUCAGGAAACUGGGGCUAAUACCGGAUAGGAGCCCCUGCUGCAUGGUGGGGGUUGGAAAGUCUCGGCGGUUGGGGCUGGACUCGCGGCUUAUCAGCUUGUUGGUGGGGUAGUGGCAUACCAAGGCAUUGACUGGUAGCCGGCCUGGGAGGGUGACCGGGCACAUUGGGCCUGAGAUACGGCCCAGACGCCUACGGGAGACAGCAGUGGGGAAUAUUACACAAUGGGCGGGAGCCUGAUGCAGCGGCGCCGCGUGCGGGAUGACGGCCUUCGGGUUGUAAACCGCUUUCGCCUGUGACGAAGCGUGAGUGACGGUAAUGGGUAAAGAAGCACCGGCUAACUACGUG
rnacentral:rRNA from 1 species